rnacentral:rRNA from 1 species
UACGGAGGGGGCUAGCGUUGUUCGGAAUUACUGGGCGUAAAGCGCGCGUAGGCGGACCUGCAAGUCGGGGGUGAAAGCCCGAGGCUCAACCUCGGAACUGCCUUCGAUACUGCGGGUCUCGAGUCCGGGAGAGGUGAGUGGAAUUCCUAGUGUAGAGGUGAAAUUCGUAGAUAUUAGGAAGAACACCAGUGGCGAAGGCGGCUCACUGGCCCGGUACUGACGCUGAGGCGG